UACGUAGGGGGCUAGCGUUGUCCGGAAUCAUUGGGCGUAAAGAGCGUGUAGGCGGCCCGGUAAGUCCGCUGUGAAAGUCGGGGGCUCAACCCUCGGAUGCCGGUGGAUACUGUCGGGCUCGAGUACGGAAGAGGCGAGUGGAAUUCCUGGUGUAGCGGUGAAAUGCGCAGAUAUCAGGAGGAACACCUAUUGCGAAGGCAGCUCGCUGGGACGUUACUGACGCUGAGACGCGAAGGCGUGGGGAGCGAACAGG
rnacentral:rRNA from 1 species